rnacentral:rRNA from 1 species
GAUGAACGCUGGCGGCGUGCCUAAUACAUGCAAGUCGAGCGAACAGACGAGGAGCUUGCUCCUCUGACGUUAGCGGCGGACGGGUGAGUAACACGUGGAUAACCUACCUAUAAGACUGGGAUAACUUCGGGAAACCGGAGCUAAUACCGGAUAAUAUAUUGAACCGCAUGGUUCAAUAGUGAAAGACGGUUUUGCUGUCACUUAUAGAUGGAUCCGCGCCGCAUUAGCUAGUUGGUAAGGUAACGGCUUACCAAGGCAACGAUGCGUAGCCGACCUGAGAGGGUGCUCGCCCACACUGGACCUGAACAACGGUCCAGACUCCUACGGGAGGCAGCAGUAGGGAAUCUUCCGCAAUGGGCGAAAGCCUGACGGAGCAACGCCGCGUGAGUGAUGAAGGUCUUCGGAUCGUAAAACUCUGUUAUUAGGGAAGAACAAAUGUGUAAGUAACUAUGCACGUCUUGACGGUACCUAAUCAGAAAGCCACGGCUAACUACGUG